rnacentral:rRNA from 1 species
UAACUGAAUCCAUAGGUUAAUGAGGCGAACCGGGGGAACUGAAACAUCUAAGUACCCCGAGGAAAAGAAAUCAACCGAGAUUCCCCCAGUAGCGGCGAGCGAACGGGGAGGAGCCCAGAGCCUGAAUCAGCAUGUGUGUUAGUGGAAGCGUCUGGAAAGGCGCGCGAUACAGGGUGACAGCCCCGUACACAAAAGCGCAUGUGCUGUGAGCUCGAUGAGUAGGGCGGGACACGUGGUAUCCUGUCUGAAUAUGGGGGGACCAUCCUCCAAGGCUAAAUACUCCUGACUGACCGAUAGUGAACCAGUACCGUGAGGGAAAGGCGAAAAGAACCCCGGCGAGGGGAGUGAAAAAGAACCUGAAACCGUGUACGUACAAGCAGUGGGAGCACAGGUUUACCUGUGUGACUGCGUACCUUUUGUAUAAUGGGUCAGCGACUUAUAUUCUGUAGCAAGGUUAACCGAAUAGGGGAGCCGGAGGGAAACCGAGUCUUAAUUGGGCGUUAAGUUGCAGGGUAUAGACCCGAAACCCGGUGAUCUAGCCAUGGGCAGGUUGAAGGUUGGGUAACACUAACUGGAGGACCGAACCGACUAAUGUUGAAAAAUUAGCGGAUGACCUGUGGCUGGGGGUGAAAGGCCAAUCAAACCGGGAGAUAGCUGGUUCUCCCCGAAAGCU